rnacentral:rRNA from 1 species
UACGUAGGGUGCGAGCGUUGUCCGGAAUUAUUGGGCGUAAAGAGCUCGUAGGCGGUUUGUCGCGUCUGCUGUGAAAACUCGGGGCUUAACUCCGGGCCUGCAGUGGGUACGGGCAGACUAGAGUGCGGUAGGGGAGACUGGAACUCCUGGUGUAGUGGUGAAAUGCGUAGAGAUCAGGAAGAAUACCUGUGGCGCAAGCGCCCACCUGGCCGAGACCUGACGCUGAGGCACGAAAGCGUGGGGAGCGAACCGG